UACGUAGGGGGCAAGCGUUGUCCGGAUUUAUUGGGCGUAAAGAGCGUGUAGGCGGCUGGGUAGGUCCGUUGUGAAAACUCGAGGCUCAACCUCGAGACGCCGGUGGAAACCGUAAAGCUAGAGUCCGGAAGAGGAGAGUGGAAUUCCUGGUGUAGCGGUGAAAUGCGCAGAUAUCAGGAGGAACACCCGUGGCGAAAGCGGCUCUCUGGGACGGUACUGACGCUGAGACGCGAAAGCGUGGGGAGUAAACAGG
rnacentral:rRNA from 1 species